ACUCAAAGGAAUUGACGGGGGCUCACACAAGCGGUGGAGGAUGUGGCUUAAUUCGAGGCUACGCGAAGAACCUUAUCCAGGCCUUGACAUGUACGGAUGCUGCCCGUGAAAGCGGGUUAGUUGCCUUCGGGUGAAACGUGCACAGGUGCUGCAUGGCUGUCGUCAGCUCGUGUCGUGAGAUGUCGGGUUAAGUCCCUUAACGAGCGAAACCCUUGUCUUUAGUUGCCAGCGAGUAAUGUCGGGGACUCUAAAGAGACUGCCGGUGUUAAACCGGAGGAAGGUGGGGAUGACGUCAAGUCCUCAUGGCCUUUAUGGUCUGGGCUGCACACGUCCUACAAUGGCAUAUACAAAGGGAUGCUACCUCGCGAGAGCAAGCAAAUCCCAAAAAGUAUGCCCCAGUUCGGAUUGCAGGCUGCAACUCGCCUGCAUGAAGCCGGAAUCGCUAGUAAUCGUGGAUCAGCAUGCCACGGUGAAUAUGUUCCUGAGCCUUGUACACACCGCCCGU
rnacentral:rRNA from 1 species